rnacentral:rRNA from 1 species
AUGAACGCUGGCGGCGUGCCUAAUACAUUCCAGUCGCGCGAACAGACGAGGAGCUUGCUCCUCUGACGUUAGCGGCGGACGGGUGAGUAACACGUGGAUAACCUACCUAUAAGACUGGGAUAACUUCGGGAAACCGGAGCUAAUACCGGAUAAUAUAUUGAACCGCAUGGUUCAAUAGUGAAAGACGGUUUUGCUGUCACUUAUAGAUGGAUCCGCGCCGCAUUAGCUAGUUGGUAAGGUAACGGCUUACCAAGGCAACGAUGCGUAGCCGACCUGAGAGGGUGAUCGGCCACACUGGAACUGAGACACGGUCCAGACUCCUACGGGAGGCAGCAGUAGGGAAUCUUCCGCAAUGGGCGAAAGCCUGACGGAGCAACGCCGCGUGAGUGAUGAAGGUCUUCGGAUCGUAAAACUCUGUUAUUAGGGAAGAACAAAUGUGUAAGUAACUAUGCACGUCUUGACGGUACCUAAUCAGAAAGCCACGGCUAACUACGUG